GGGGAUGUAGCUCAGUGGCAGAGCGUCUCGUUUGCAUUGAGCAAAUCGUACGAAUUUCGAGAAGGUCUGGGGUUCAAUCCCCCACAUCUCCA